rnacentral:rRNA from 1 species
UGGGCAACCUGCCCUCAGCUCUGGGAUAACUCCGGGAAACCGGGGCUAAUACCGGAUACGACCUCGAGCGGCAUCUAUCGAGGUGGAAAGUUUUUCGGCUAGAGAUGGGCCCGCGGCCUAUCAGCUUGUUGGUGAGGUAACGGCCCACCAAGGCGACGACGGGUAGCCGGCCUGAGAGGGUGAUCGGCCACACUGGGACUGAGACACGGCCCAGACCUCCGUACGGGAGGCA